GGAGGCGUCGCAUAGCGGUCUAGUGCGCGCGCUUGGAAAGCACGUAAGGUGUUAAAGCCUUCGAGAGUUCGAAUCUCUCCGCCUCCG
rnacentral:tRNA from 1 species